rnacentral:rRNA from 1 species
GGGACCCGUCUUGAAACACGGACCAAGGAGUCUAGCAUGUGCGCGAGUCAUUGGGACUCGAACGAAAGGCGUAAUGAAAGUGAAGGCUGCGUUUACUCGUCUACUCUUUUCUAAUCCUAGAAGAGAGCGGAGAGUUUCGCGACCGAGGGAGGAUAGGUAUAUACGUAGCGAACGAACACAACGUGUCGUGUGUGUGUGUGUGUGUCGUGUCAUCGACCGAUGUAUAUAUAUACACGCGUUCGACCUCGCACUCCCUGGGCGUCUCGUUCUCAUCGCGAGAAGAGGCGCACCUAUAGCGUACACGCUGGGACCCGAAAGAUGGUGAACUAUGCCUGGUCAGGAUGAAGUCAGGGGAAACCCUGAUGGAGGUCCGUAGCGAUUCUGACGUGCAAAUCGAUCGUCGGAACUGGGUAUAGGGGCGAAAGACUAAUCGAACCGUCUAGUAGCUGGUUCCCUCCGAAGUUUCCCUCAGGAUAGCUGGCUCUCGUAUUAUACGAGUCUCAUUCGGUAAAGCGAAUGAUUAGAGGCAUUGGGGUCGAAACGGCCUCAACCUAUUCUCAAACUUUAAAUGGGUGAGAUCUCCGGCUUGCUUUAAACUUGAAGCCGCGAGUGUUUCGGAUCAGAGUGCCAAGUGGGCCACUUUUGGUAAGCAGAACUGGUGAUGUGGGAUGAACCAAACGUAUAGUUAAAGCGCCAAAAUCGACGCUUAUGGGAUACCAUAAAAGGCGUUGGUAACUUAAGACAGCAGGACGGUGGCCAUGGAA